rnacentral:rRNA from 1 species
AUGGACUGUUCGGACGCCCAGGCCUUAGCGGCAUUUAAGCACAGCAUCCGUGACGAAUGGCUCGCCCGGCACCUCGGUCAGGAAAAGACGAAGACAAUGCAUGGCAGCUCUUACUGCACUCAUGACCCGCUUCUGUGCGGGCAAAGAUAG